rnacentral:rRNA from 1 species
AGCAGCCGCGGUAAUUCCAGCUCCAAUAGCGUAUAUUAAAGUUGUUGCAGUUAAAAAGCUCGUAGUUGAAUUUCGGGAUCGACGGGUCGGUCGCGCCUCUGGUGUGUACUGGCCCUGUCGGUUUCUCCCUUCUGACGAACCACGAUGUCAUUAAUUUGGUGUCGUGGGGAAUCAGGACUGUUACUUUGAAAAAAUUAGAGUGUUUAAAGCAAGCAUUCGCUUGAAUACAUUAGCAUGGAAUAAUGAAAUAGGACGUUUGAUCUUAUUUUGUUGGUUUCUAAGAUCGACGUAAUGAUUAAUAGGGAUAGUUGGGGGCAUUAGUAUUCAAUUGUCAGAGGUGAAAUUCUUGGAUUUAUUGAAGACUAACUACUGCGAAAGCAUUUGCCAGGGAUGUUUUCAUUAAUCAAGAACGAAAGUUAGGGGAUCGAAGACGAUCAGAUACCGUCGUAGUCUUAACCAUAAACUAUGCCGACUAGGGAUCGGAUGAUGUUAAUUUUUAAUGACUCAUUCGGCGUCCUUA